GAUGAAGACGUAGCGAAAUGCGAUAAGUAAUGUGAAUUGCAGAAUUCAGUGAAUCAUCGAAUCUUUGAACGCACAUUGCGCCCGCUAGUAUUCUGGCGGGCAUGCCUGUCCGAGCGUCAUUUCAACCCUCAAGCCCCCGGGCUUGGUGUUGGGGAUCGGCGAGCCUCCGCGCCCGCCGUCCCCUAAAUCUAGUGGCGGUCUCGCUGUAGCUUCCUCUGCGUAGUAGCACACCUCGCACUGGGAAACAGCGCGGCCACGCCGUUAAACCCCCAACUUCUGAACGUUUGACCUCGGAUCAGGUAGGAAUACCCGCUGAACUUAAGCAUAUCAUAAGCGGAGGA
rnacentral:misc_RNA from 1 species